rnacentral:rRNA from 1 species
UGAAUACGAGAUGCUACGGCGUCGAAGCAGUCUAUGUCAUACUUCCAAGAAAAGCUUGCACUGUCAUAAACAAAUAAUGCCUGUACCAUAACCGACACAGGUGGGUAGGUAGAGUAUACUAAGGGGCGCGAGAUAACUCUCUCUAAGGAACUCGGCAAAAUGACUCCGUAACUUCGGGAGAAGGAGUGCCUUAUUUAUAAGGUUGCAAUAACAAGAUCCAAGCAACUGUUUACCAAAAACACAGGUCUCCGCUAAGUCGUAAGACGAUGUAUGGGGGCUGACGCCUGCCCAGCGCCAGAAGGUUAAAGAAGUUGGUUAGCAUCCGCGAAGCUGAUAACUGAAGCCCUGGUGAACGGCGGCCGUAACUAUAACGGUCCUAAGGUAGCGAAAUUCCUUGUCGGGUAAGUUCCGACCCGCACGAAAGGCGUAAUGAUUUGGAUACUGUCUCGGAGAGGGGCUCGGUGAAAUAGACUUGUCUGUGAAGAUGCGGACUACCUGCACCAGGACAGAAAGACCCUAUGAAGCUUUACUGUAACCUGAAAUUGAAAUUGGACUUUACUUGCGCAGUAUAGGUGGGAGGCGUUGAGAAUAUUCUUGCGGGAUUAUUGGAGCCAUCAGUGAGAUACCACUCUUGUAAUGUUAGAUUUCUAACUUUGUAUCAUUAUCUGGUCAAAGAACAGUUUCAGGCGGGCAGUUUGACUGGGGCGGUCGCCUCCUAAACGGUAACGGAGGCGCACAAAGGUUUCCUCUGAACGGGUAGAAAUCGUAUCUAGAGUGUAAAGGCAUAAGGAAGCUUGACUGUGAGACCUACAAGUCGAGCAGGGACGAAAGUCGGUCUUAGUGAUCUGACGGUGCUGAGUGGAAAGGCCGUCACUCAACGGAUAAAAGUUACUCUAGGAUAACAGGCUGAUCUCCCCCAAGAGUUCACAUCGACGGGGAGGUUUGGCACCUCGAUGUCGGCUCAUCGCAUCCUGGGGCGGUAGUACGUCCCAAGGGUUGGGCUGUUCGCCCAUGAAAGCGGUACGCGAGCUGGGUUCAGAACGUCGUGAGACAGUUCGGUCCAUAUCCGGUGUAGGCGUUAGAAUAUUGAGAGGAGCCUUCUUUAGUACGAGAGGACCGAGAAGGACAUACCUCUGGUGUACCAGUUAUCGUGCCAACGGUAAACGCUGGGUAGCUAUGUGUGGAGUGGAUAACCGCUGAAAGCAUCUAAGUGGGAAGCCCACCUCAAGAUAAGUA